GACGAACGCUGGCGGCGUGCCUAAUACAUGCAAGUAGAACGCUGAAGGAAGGAGCUUGCUCUUUCCGGAUGAGUUGCGAACGGGUGAGUAACGCGUAGGUAACCUGCCUGGUAGCGGGGGAUAACUAUUGGAAACGAUAGCUAAUACCGCAUAACAUUGAUUAUUGCAUGAUAGUCAAUUAAAAGGUGCAAUUGCAUCACUACCAGAUGGACCUGCGUUGUAUUAGCUAGUUGGUGGGGUAACGGCUCACCAAGGCGACGAUACAUAGCCGACCUGAGAGGGUGAUCGGCCACACUGGGACUGAGACACGGCCCAGACUCCUACGGGAGGCAGCAGUAGGGAAUCUUCGGCAAUGGACGGAAGUCAGACCGAGCAACGCCGCGUGAGUGAAGAAGGUUUUCGGAUCGUAAAGCUCUGUUGUAAGAGAAGAAACGAGUGUGAGAGUGGAAAAGUUUCAACAACUGUGACGGUAUUUUACCAG
rnacentral:rRNA from 1 species